rnacentral:rRNA from 1 species
GUACGAGAGGACCGGGGUGGACGCAGCGCUCGUGUGUCGGUUGUCGCGCCAGCGGCAUAGCCGAGUAGCGACCUGCGGACGGGAUAACUGCUGAAAGCAUCUAAGUAGGAAGCCCCCCUCAAGACGAGAUACCCCAUCCCUAUAAGGGAGUAAGACCGCUGGGAGACCACCAGUUUGAUAGGCAGGAAGUGGAAGCGCAGCAAUGUGUGUAGCUAACCUGUACUAAUGGUCGAGGGCUUUAUAUU